rnacentral:rRNA from 1 species
GAUGAACGCUGGCGGCGUGCUUAACACAUGCAAGUCGAACGGAAAGGCUCCUGCUUGCAGGGGUACUCGAGUGGCGAACGGGUGAGUAACACGUGGGUGAUCCGCCCUGCACUUCGGGAUAAGCCUGGGAAACUGGGUCUAAUACCGGAUAGGACGAUGGUUUGGAUGCCAUUGUGGAAAGUUUUUCGGUGUGGGAUGAGCUCGCGGCCUAUCAGCUUGUUGGUGGGGUAAUGGCCUACCAAGGCGUCGACGGGUAGCCGGCCUGAGAGGGUGUACGGCCACAUUGGGACUGAGAUACGGCCCAGACUCCUACGGGAGGCAGCAGUGGGGAGUAUUGCACAAUGGGCGCAAGCCUGAUGCAGCGACGCCGCGUGGGGGAUGACGGCCUUCGGGUUGUAAACUCCUUUCGCUAGGGACGAAGCGCAAGUGACGGUACCUGGAGAAGAAGCACCGGCUAACUACGUG